rnacentral:lncRNA from 1 species
AGAUACCUUUGUAGUUUGGGUUGUCGAUUAAAGGAGCAUGCCAUUUUCCCUUGUAAGCUGGAUUCUUCUUCAUUGGCCUCUUCCACUCCCCACAGCCAGGUGCUGCUUCGCACUUUGGGUUGUCGAUCUUAGGUGCCUCCCAUUCUCCAUCCUCCUCAUCAUCCCAAUCUUCAGGUUUGGUGGCUUCAGGAUCAUCAAUUUCCUCAGGUUCAUCAUCCAGCCAACCUUCAGGUUUAACAGCAUCCUCAUCUUCAAUCUCUGGUGGAGCAUCCUCAUCCCAGUCAUCAGGCUUAACAGCAUCUGGAUCUGGAAUCUUAGGCCUCUCAUCCCAGUCCUCAGGCUUCUUAUCAUCAGGAUCAGGAAUUGUCUUAGGUGGGAUGAGUGCUGGUUCAAAAUCAUCAGCGGACAAGAAGUUUGCUUUCUUUUUUUCCUCACCAU